CUCUCUUUCUUUCUGAAUUAUUGGAUCUUCAUCUGGAUUUAUCUUCAUCUGCAAGAGAAGUGCUUGGUGUUGCAGGAAUCGGCAUUUGGUAUGAAGAAGGCCAGGAACACCACCGGCCACCUCUUCUUCACAUUCUAGUGUUUCUAUUUCUAGGGUUUCUUCUUCGCCGAUUCCAUUCCCUUCCUCUCCGCCACGCUGCCGAGCCCUCCUCGCCGGCGGCCCUCACUCAUCACAGCAGCCUCCUUUUCCUCCUCUUCCGUUGCUGCAAUCAACGGCGGCCUCCAUCAUUACACCGUUCUGGGCGUCGCCCACACUGCCACAGCCGUCGAGAUCGAACGUGCUAAUCGCCUCCUUGCCCGCAAGAUUGUUCCUUGGUCUGCAAUCAAUUUCACAACAUAUGAUAUGAUAAAGGCUUGGUGUACCACCUCAACAAAGUCUCUACCAGAUUUUUUUGCUGUUGCUGUUAUUAAGAGUUUGAACGCUGCUGAACUGAAUUAGUGGACACAAGAACAUGCAGGCGUGUUUUAUUCUGGCUGGAUGGUGUUGGACAAAAUUUUCUUCCCAUAGAGGUCCUGGCUGUCAUACGAAGAAACCAUUGGAAUAUAGUAAUGAUACGAAGUUAGGGGGCGGUUAAUAGUCAAGAA